AUUGAACGCUGGCGGCAGGCCUAACACAUGCAAGUCGAGCGGAGCGGCGGACGGGUGAGUAAUGCCUAGGAAUCUGCCUGGUAGUGGGGGAUAACGUCCGGAAACGGGCGCUUAUACCGCAUCCUAUCAGAUGCGCCUAGGUCGGAUUAGCUAGUUGGUGGGGUAAAGGCCAACCAAGGCGACGACCCAUAACUGGUUGGAGAGGAUGAUCAGUCAAACGGGAACUGAGACACGGUCCAGAAUCCUACGGGAGGAAGCAGUGGGGAAUAUUGGAAAAUGGGCGAAAGCCUGAUCCAGCCAUGCCGCGUGGGUGAAGAAGGUCUUCGGAUUGUAAAGCACUUUAAGUUGGGAGGCGUUACCAACAGAAUAAGCACCGGCUAACUACGUGCCAGCAGCCGCGGUAAUAC
rnacentral:rRNA from 1 species